rnacentral:lncRNA from 1 species
GAACUAAAGUGGACCAAGAAGGCUACGUUGAAGCUUCCGAAGGCCACGUUCCACGAGGCAAGCCACAGUCUGGGGUGGACAUGUGGAAGGGGCUUCGGCCAGGUUGACAUGAUCCACAACGGUGGAACCCGUGAAAGCAGCGACCACGAUCAGUUCUUCCCUGAGGAGGCGCAGGAAGGGGAAGAAUUCUAUGGUGCAGACGAGUUCUUGUUCUAG